AUAAUUAUUUAUUUUUUUUUUAAGAAAAAAAAAAACAACCAUCCCCCACCCCACCUGGGCACCAGCAGCCCCUCCCCUGCCAGCGGCUAGGCCCCUCACCAUCGACCGCACUAACACCAUGAAACCGACCCCCCCUCAUACCGACAAACCCCAAACACUUAGGCAAAGGGUUUUAACUCCGCUUUCUCACACUCUCUCCCUCAAAAAACCCCUGCAAUAAAAAACCUUCGAAACCCUAGCAAUGGAGUGAAUCUCCUACCAGCGUUUCCUCCAAAUCAAUAUCCGAGAAAUGCGAGACGAUCAUGAAAUUCGAGCUCUAGAAAACCGAUUCAAGCGUCGCUAAUGUUCUUCGCCGCGUAAUGAUCGCCGAAGUGCCAACCAUCGCCAUCGAUCUCGUUAAAAUCGAUGUCAAUUCCUCCGUUCUCAACGACGAGUUCAUCGCUCAUCGUCUCGGCCUCAUCGCUGUCAUCAGCGAGUGUGUGAUGGCAACGCGCUUCUCCCACGACUGCGACGCAUGCGAUGGUGACAACUAGACCUGUCCAAUGGGGUUAGGGGCCCAUUUAAAGCCAUGACCCAACCCUUUUAUAAAAGGGUUUUAUCCAUCGAAUAUUUAAAUGGGGCAGGCUUUUAAAGGGUUAUUAAUAAUGGGCUUUUAAAGGGUUGGGUCUAAGUUAAAAAUGACUGAAAUUGGGUAACUCUUAUGAGGCUUUUUUUAUCCUAAUUUUUUUGUUCCUAAAACUUCCUAACAUCAAAUUAUAAUAUCUUGAAAAUAAAAAUUCCCAAUUUUCCCCAAAUUAUGAACCCUAAAAAAUUCCCAAUUUCCCCCAAAAAUAAAAAAUUAAACGUUUUCUCUCUCUUCUUAUUCACCAGCAAAAAUGUAUGAACCCUAAAUUUUUUUUCCUACUCGAGUUCUACUCGAAUCGCUAUUUGAAUUCUUCGCUCUGAUUCUCAAAAAUUGCUACUCUAAUUCUUCGCUCCAAAUAGACGUUCAGAUUUCACACAUUGUUGCUCCAAAUCAUUGCUCGAAGUCGGUCAAAUCGCUAGUUGUUCAAGUAUCGACUUUGUUUUUUUUAAUCAUGGAAAGUGAAGCAACUACAACAUCAAUGCCGGUAGAUGAUGAGGUUGAUGAAUCUAAUGCCGCCCGUAAGCGUAAAAGGAGUAGGAAAUCUAAAGUUUGGCAAGAAAUGACGGAAGGAAAGAAUGCAAAAGGUGUUGCCUUUGAUUACAUUGAUGAUGCGUUUUCCAAGCUCAAUGGUUGGCUGCUUCAACCCAAAUAUAUGAUCGUGAUAAUGGCUCUGUAAAUCCUGUUUCGAUUACUGCCUUAAGUGGUCGAUAAUUGCUAUUUUGUGCGGGAAGUUGUGUAUGCUGUGAUUAGUCUCUAGUGAGUCACUUGACUGUAACAAAUUUGCGUGUCUAAUUUGUGUCAAGAACAUUGCUUAGUUACUUGAUUGUAACAAAUUUGUGACAAGAACAUUGCUCAGCUCUCUACUUUUAACUUGUUGGCUAAGGCCCUUUAUAAGGCUCCUUAAAGGCCCUUUAUAAUUCUCUUA